UGGAUCAAUGAUGUGAUGACCACUAGUGGCGUAUGAAUCUUAUGUGGCAUAUGAGUCUUAUAUAGUGAAUACGUGUUUGAAACUCUGAGGUCUGU
ensembl:snoRNA